CAGCAGCCACGGGAAUACGUAGGGGGCAAGCGUUAUCCGGAAUAACUGGGCGUAAAGGGUGCGCAGGUGGUUUAACAAGUUAGUGGUGAAAGGCAUAGGCUCAACCAAUGUAAGCCAUUAAAACUGUUUAACUUGAGUGCAGGAGAGGAAAGUGGAAUUCCUAGUGUAGCGGUGAAAUGCGUAGAUAUUAGGAGGAAUACCAGUGGCGAAGGCGACUUUCUGGACUGCAACUGACACUGAGGCACGAAAGCGUGGGGAGCAAACAGGAUUAGAUACCCCCGUAGUCCCUGUCUCUUAUACA
rnacentral:rRNA from 1 species